UAUUAAAAUUCUCUCUCUCUCCUCUCUCACUCUCUCUUAAAAAAAAAAAAGAAGAAGAAGAAGAGGAGGAGGAGGAGGAGAAAUUGUUUAAAGGAAUCGGAGGAGGAGGAGGAGGAAUUGUUUAAAGGAAUCUGCCCCAAGGAGGUGUGUUUGAGUGAAGAAGGAAGAAACUGAUGACACCCAGCAAGCCUCUGAGAGAAGAAAGCCCCAAUGAGCACAAAGGACCAGAGUCAGGAGAGGAGAAGCCAAAGUGCCAGUGUGGCUGGAGCAGUGCAGGUUCAUGCUGUGGCCUGAAAAGCCAUCCUGCUCCAAGGGCUCCAGAGGUGCCAUUUACCCCUUUCCACUACUCCGUCUUCUUGGAGACGAAAAGUCCUCUCAUUCUCACACUGCCUCUCCUGAGCCUAACCUGCGUCACUGCUCUUUCUCCUUCCCACUCACCUGAUAUCCAAGUCAUCGGUCAAAGUUGUCCAUGUUGGCCUCAAACUUGUCACUAGGAUUACAGUUCUGCACCACUGUGCCCAGUUGUUGGCCUCUGUCAUCUCUUGCUGUCUUCCUCUCCCAACCCCUGGUAGGGUCAUUUUGCAUGGGGCACACACUCCUACUUAUCUCCCUAAAGGCUUUCCAUCACCCUGGGAGUAAAAACCAACAGCUUUCGUGGCCCCUAAGCACACAGAGUUGCUAAUUUGGCACAACAACCCUUGCUUUUGGAAAAUGAAGUCUGUUCUACAAAGCUGUUAUUAAAAAACCAAACAAAACUAAGUGUGGAUUAUACAUGUCUGUAAUCCCAGCCACUCAGGAAGCUGAGGUAGGAAGAUUGCAAGUUUAAGGCCAGCCUGGA
rnacentral:lncRNA from 1 species